rnacentral:rRNA from 1 species
UCCUACGGGAGGCAGCAGUGGGGAAUUUUGGACAAUGGGCGAAAGCCUGAUCCAGCAAUGCCGCGUGUGUGAAGAAGGCCUUCGGGUUGUAAAGCACUUUUGUCCGGAAAGAAAUCCUGGUGGCUAAUAUCCGCCGGGGAUGACGGUACCGGAAGAAUAAGCACCGGCUAACUACGUGCCAGCAGCCGCGGUAAUACGUAGGGUGCGAGCGUUAAUCGGAAUUACUGGGCGUAAAGCGUGCGCAGGCGGUGAUGUAAGACCGAUGUGAAAUCCCCGGGCUUAACCUGGGAACUGCAUUGGUGACUGCAUCGCUGGAGUAUGGCAGAGGGGGGUAGAAUUCCACGUGUAGCAGUGAAAUGCGUAGAGAUGUGGAGGAAUACCGAUGGCGAAGGCAGCCCCCUGGGCCAAUACUGACGCUCAUGCACGAAAGCGUGGGGAGCAAACAGGAUUAGAUACCCUGGUAGUCCACGCCCUAAACGAUGUCAACUGGUUGUCGGGCCUUCAUUGGCUUGGUAACGUAGCUAACGCGUGAAGUUGACCGCCUGGGGAGUACGGUCGCAAGAUUAAAACUCAAAGGAAUUGACGGGGACCCGCACAAGCGGUGGAUGAUGUGGAUUAAUUCGAUGCAACGCGAAAAACCUUACA